rnacentral:rRNA from 1 species
UACAGAGACCCCAAGCGUUAUCCGGAUUUAUUGGGCGUAAAGGGCUCGUAGGAGGUUAUGUGCGUCUCGUGUUAAAUCGUACCGCUCAACGGUACGGCUGCGCGGGAUACGGCAUAACUAGAGGAUGUCAGAGGUAAGCGGAACGCACGGUGUAGGGGUGAAAUCCGUUGAUAUCGUGCGGAACACCAGAGGCGAAGGCGGCUUACUGGGGGCACUCCUGACUCUGAGGAGCGAAAGCAUGGGUAGCGAAGAGG